ensembl:lncRNA
GAAGCCUGGUAACACCUGAAGGGAUAUUUCAGUGCUGACUCACCUUUAAAGCAGCGCCCCAGCUGUUAGUGCCUAACAGAGGCAGAAACCCAGCUGGCCCAAAUUCUCCUUUAAAAUCAAUAAAUAGAACAUAAAUUACCGGUGUGUGUAAAUAAGUUGUAUAAAUCUGUUAGAUCUGAAACUCCUGCUAAAAAACUUCCUCUCUACAACUCUUUUCUCUUCUCUCCCUCUUUCUCUCAGUUGGGAUUCUGUGUGUGUAUGUGUGCUGGAGAAAUAAAAAAAAAAGGAAAAGGGUCUCUCUCUGUCUCUGUGAGAGGAAAAAGGUGGGGGCCGAGUGAGCCCGCGGGGCCGAGCGGGUCCGCGAGAGCGAGCGUGUAUGCUGUAUGAGGAAGAAGGGAGUGAGAGGGAGCGAGUGAAAAGAGUAAUCGAGUAUUUGGUGAUUUUUUUAUUAUUUCAGAGGCACUGGGACAGCUGUUACUGCUUUCAUCGGGAACCGAGACUGCUUGCAGCCGACCCCUGGGCAGGGUGGUGCCUGGACUCUUUUCUCCUCAUCUGCAAUGACAGAUAAAGACAAAUGAUAAGACCCGAGGAGUUUUUCGAGCCAGGCUUCGACACGUCUCUGUGUUCCUUUGAAUGUUACUUAUUUUUGUAUGUUGACCCAUUUAAGAUGGGUCAAAAGGGGGAUUUGAAGAAAAUAUAAUCUGAUCAAACAUUAUUCAGCUUUAAAUAUUGUUCAGCUUUAAAGUUACUGUGCAACUGUGUAAUAAAAAUAUGCGCUCACGACUUUGGCCUUGAGAGCGAUAAGAAGCGAUCGCCUCAUUCUGCAGGUGCAAGAUAUCUGCAAGCGAAGAGACUAGAACACCCAAGGCCGCUUUCCUUUUAUGGAGUUGUUUUUCUGCUAAUGCAGCACUGUCC